GACCCUGUGGCGCAACGGUAGCGCGUCUGACUCCAGAUCAGAAGGCUGUGUGUUCAAAUCACGUCAAGGUCA
rnacentral:tRNA from 1 species